UCGUCCACUGUUUUUAACGCAUUAUUGCCGAUUGAAAAGUUAAAUUCACUCUGCUUUUUACGUCCUUUACGAAAGUGCACGCACUUAGAUUUGUCCGUGUUGAUCAGAACCCUCCAACGUUUACACCAUCUACGAAUCACAUUUAACAUUUGUUGAAGUUCAUCCUCACUUUUUGCGAACAUAACAAUAUCAUCAGCGUAAAGUAGAAGUGAAAUCUGUCUUCCAUUAAUAUCAAAUCCUAAAUUCAAAUCAUUAACUUCUUUAACCAGAUCGU
rnacentral:lncRNA from 1 species